ensembl:lncRNA
GGCACAACCAGUGAGAUAAAAAUGACACCACCGUUGAGAAAUUGACCAAAACCUGAGAGCCCUCGAAAAAUUAGACUGAAGUGGAAAAAAAAAAAUUCAAACUCAUCAGACAUAUGAGGACAUUGAAAAUCCUGAGAGAUCCGGUGACAGGCCACCUAAGAAGCUGGGAUCCAGGUUUCAAUGGCCAGUGUGCCUUUGCUGCACGGACCACAGCCUUAGCUGACCUCAGCUGAGUUGCUCACCUGUCACUUCGAGCCUUCAACAGACACUAAAGCCUAGAGUUGUUCCAUGUGGGAGAUACUGCUGCUGCUACUGCUAAGUCGCUUCAGUUGUGUCUGACUCUGUGCGACCCCAUAGACAG